rnacentral:rRNA from 1 species
GAUGAACGCUGGCGGCGUGCCUAAUACAUGCAAGUCGAGCGAACAGACGAGGAGCUUGCUCCUCGGACGUUAGCGGCGCACGUGUGUGUAACAUGUGGAUAACCUACCUAUAAGACUGGUAUAACUUCGGGAAACCGGAGCUAAUAGCGUAUAAUAUAUUGAACCGCAUGGUUCAAUGGUAAAAGACGGUGGUGCUGGCACUUAUAGAGGGAUCCGAGCCGGAUUAGCUAGUUGGUAAGGUAAAGGCUUAUCAAGGGAACGAUGCGUAGGCGACCUGAGAGGGUGAUCGGCCACACGGGAACUGAGCCACCGUCCAGACUCCUACGGGAGGCAGCAGUAGGGAACCUUCCGCAAUGGGCGAAAGCAUGACGGAGCAACGCCGCGUGAGUGAUGAAGGUCUUCGGAUCGUAAACCUCUGUUAUUAGGGAAGAACAAAUGUGUAAGUAACUAUGCACGUCUUGACGGUACCUAAUCAGAAAGCCACGGCUAACUACGUG